CGAGGACUCUUCUCAGACGGAUG
rnacentral:piRNA from 1 species